UACGGAGGGUGCAAGCGUUAUCCGGAAUUACUGGGUUUAAAGGGUGCGUAGUCGGCGUUGUAAGUCAGGAGUGAAAGUUUGCGGCUCAACCGUAAAAUUGCUUUUGAUACUGCAAUGCUAGAAUCAGGAUGAGGUUAGCGGAAUGUGGCAUGUAGCGGUGAAAUGCAUAGAUAUGCCAUAGAACACCAAUUGCGAAGGCAGCUGGCUAGACCUGAAUUGACGCUGAGGCACGAAAGCGUGGGGAGCGAACAGG
rnacentral:rRNA from 1 species